UACUGGGCGUAAAGAGCUCGUAGGUGGUUUGUCGCGUCGUCUGUGAAUUCCGGGGCUUAACUCCGGGCGUGCAGGCCAUACGGGCAAUACUUGAGUGCUGUAGGGGAGACUGGAAUUCCUGGUGUAGCGGUGAAAUGCGCAGAUAUCAGGAGGAACACCAAUGGCGAAGGCCGGUCUCUGGGCAGUAACUGACGCUGAGG
rnacentral:rRNA from 1 species